UCUUGGCGAAAUUUGUGAUUAUAAAAAUAUAAAAUAUAAUCAUAAUAGUGUACAAACUUACAAUUUCAAUUAAUUAUAGUCGAAUUUCGACUACUGCGAGACCUCUAGUUUACAUUAAUACGUGAAGCGAAAACUUUGUACCACUAUUUACGAAAAUUGGCGCGGACGGAGGAUCUUCGAAGAGUACAACGAAAAGCUCAUACUAGAAAACUUGCAGAGCAGUCCCUUCCUGUCGAAGAGCUUGGCGUCGAAAGGGGGCCAGUAGUAGAAAAGUAGCUUCGCUGCAGACAGCCUCGCUCCCCACGUGCCGUAAGCGAUCACGCACAGGAUGUCUUUAACGACGGUCUGCUUCAUCGACAUCAGGCACUCCAGCAGCUGGCAGUGGUGGGCUGCAAGACAACCCUUCUGAAUUACAUCGUUAAGAGAGUAUAACAAUGUUACGCCGGUAAGAGUAGCGCCAUCUAUCGCCUAAUAGUCGAACGAAUAUCGAAGAAUCUAGUAACACCCAGAACGUUCGAGAAGUACAACGCCAUCUAUUGCCAGAUAGCGGAAACAAUACUAGACGGAUCACUUGAAGCGAAGCGGAAGAAGCGAAUUGAGAGUUUUAAUGUGUUUAUUGAGUGUUUUAAGUGUUCUAAGUGUUGAAUACAGUGUUUUUUUUUUUUUUUUUUAUUGCUUAGAUGUGUGGACGAGCUCACAGCCCACCUGGUGUUAAGUGGUUACUGGAGCCCAUAGACACCUACAACGUAAAUGCGCCACACACCUUGAGAUAUAGUUCUAAGGUCUCAGUAUAGUCACAACGGCUGCCCCACCCUUCAAACCGAAACGCAUUACUGCUUCACGGCAGAAAUAGGCGGGGCGAUGGUACCUACCCGUGCGGACUCACAAGAAGUCCUACCACCAGUAAUUACGCAAAUUAUAAAUUUUGCGGGUUUGAUUUUUAUUGCACGAUGUUAUUCCUUCACCGUGGAAGUCAAUCGUGAACAUUUGCUGAGUACGUAUUUUAUUAGAAAAAUUGGUACCCGCCAGCGGGAUUCGAACACCGGUGCAUCGCUCGAUACGAAUGCACCGGACGUCUUAUCCUUUAGGCCACGACGACUUCAAAACUUAGUUUAUACUUCGGUGGAAUUUUAUUUAUCCCAAGCCCCAGCGCGUAACAAUUAUAACUUUACAGGAACAAACAAUCCUUAGUUAAAAACAUAAGAUUUGAAUGACCUAUUUUUCAUAGAUGUUGAGCGACCGAUGUGCUUACGUACCAUCUAAAGUUAGGUCAUCCUAAUAUGAAUGUCUCCACUCAACCACUGACGUGAGGGGUAGGGGUCUCAAUUGCAUUGUAGACCUGAUGAUGGCACUUACCCAUGCAAGCUUACAAUACCUUACAAUAAUUUACCUCAUGCGGGCUCACAAGACGACUUGACCCGUGCCAACAUAAACCUACCACCACCCUGCUUUUUUGGGCCACGAAGCAGUAAUGCGUUGCAGUUUGAAGUUUGGGGUGUGGGCUUAGGUAAACACAUAAAGCCAGACGAGCUAUUCACCGUAAAAAAAUACUAAAUCUAAUUCAAUACAUAAUAGUAAUCGAAUUAAUACAGUAGGCUAGUAGUAGCUACCGGUAGACAGCGGCUUGGCUCUGCCCCUGGCAUUGCUGAAGUCCAUGGGCGACGGUAACCACUCACCAUCAGGUGGGCCGUAUGCUCGUCUGCCUACACGGGCAAUAAAAAAUAAUAAAAAACCCUUGAUUCUCUUAAUUGAACAAAUUUUUUUUUUAAAAGGACGUGAUUGUAUCUUGAACCUGGAUUACUGGAGUGCUGGAACACCAUCAUGACAAUGGCAGCGACAGAUUGUGAAGCUUGACUUUCAUCUUCUUGGCCCGAAUAACGGCGAGCUACGAAAAAAAAAUAAGUACUGAAGUACAAACUUGCGAAAUGUUCAGUACCUCAGACAUGUUCACGUGGAGACAUUGUUUACUAAAAUCAAGAGAUAGAUGCCACACAAUAGAACGUAAUGCAAGAUGUGCAAUUAAUUAAUAAAUAAUUUACCCAA